rnacentral:rRNA from 1 species
GAUGAACGCUGGCGGCGUGCCUAAUACAUGCAAGUCGAGCGAACAGAUAAGGAGCUUGCUCCUUUGAAGUUAGCGGCGGACGGGUGAGUAACACGUGGGUAACCUACCUAUAAGACUGGGAUAACUUCGGGAAACCGGAGCUAAUACCGGAUAACAUUUAGAACCGCAUGGUUCUAAAGUGAAAGGUGGUUUUGCUAUCACUUAUAGAUGGACCCGCGCCGUAUUAGCUAGUUGGUAAGGUAACGGCUUACCAAGGCGACGAUACGUAGCCGACCUGAGAGGGUGAUCGGCCACACUGGAACUGAGACACGGUCCAGACUCCUACGGGAGGCAGCAGUAGGGAAUCUUCCGCAAUGGGCGAAAGCCUGACGGAGCAACGCCGCGUGAGUGAUGAAGGGUUUCGGCUCGUAAAACUCUGUUAUUAGGGAAGAACAAAUGUGUAAGUAACUGUGCACAUCUUGACGGUACCUAAUCAGAAAGCCACGGCUAACUACGUG